CACAAGCGGUGGAGCAUGUGGUUUAAUUCGAUGAUACGCGAGAAACCUUACCAGGGCUUGACAUAUACAGGAAUGUUGUAGAGAUACAGCAGCCGCUUGCGGUCUGUAUACAGGUGCUGCAUGGCUGUCGUCAGCUCGUGCUGUGAAGUGUUGGGUUAAGUCCCGCAACGAGCGCAACCCUAUCAUCUGUUGCCAGCAUUUAAGGUGGGGACUCAGAUGAGACUGCCGGUGACAAACCGGAGGAAGUGGGGACGACGUCAAGUCAUCAUGGCCCUUAUGUCCUGGGCUACACACGUGCUACAAUGGCCGGUACAGAGUGAAGCGAAACCGCGAGGUGAAGCAAAACGCAGAAAGCCGGUCUCAGUACGGAUUGGAGUCUGAAACUCGACUUCAUGAAGUUGGAAUCGCUAGUAAUCGCGCAUCAGCAUGGCGCGGUGAAUACGUUCCCGGGCCUU
rnacentral:rRNA from 1 species